rnacentral:miRNA from 1 species
CUUUCCAACACCUCCCAUUC